UACGUAGGGUGCGAGCGUUGUCCGGAAUUAUUGGGCGUAAAGAGCUCGUAGGCGGUUUGUCGCGUCUGCCGUGAAAGUCCGGGGCUCAACUUCCGGAAUCUGCGGUGGGUACGGGCAGACUAGAGUGAUGUAGGGGAGACUGGAAUUCCUGGUGUAGCGGUAGAAAUGCGCAGAUAUCAGGAGGAACACCGAUGGCGAAGGCAGGUCUCUGGGCAUUAACUGACGCUGAGGAGCGAAAGCAUGGGGAGCGAACAGG
rnacentral:rRNA from 1 species